UCGAGGCCCCUUGUGGCCUCCUCUCAGUGCACGGGCAGGUCUGAUGCUUUCCUCUCCCGCUCAGCAUUAGGAAUGGCUCCCUAGAGUAGGUUGGCUGCACAGAGCUUGCUCCCUCUUCUGGGACUGUCUGUCUCCCCCUCUCCUGUCUUCCCCUUAGCCGGUGUGAGUGAGGAAGUGUGUUUGUGCUUUCUCCCCCCUUCUUUAGAAACAGAGCAGUGUAGCUCAGACUUCCCAGGAGGGAAAGAGGAGCUCUGUGCAGCCACAGGCGGGUGCCCAAAAUGCACGGGUGGAGAAAGCGUCCGGCCUUGCCCCUGCUUUCUGAGGACGGCGCGAAGCCGCUUAGCGGCAGCGUGAGCACCACGACCCGCCUGUAGCCAGGGCCUGGGCGUGCGCCCACGCUGCCGGUGGUGCUGGUGAACUGCCAGCGUGCGGGCCCCGUACUCGGGGCACGUGUCAGGACCUUGGCGGCACCCUUUGUCCCCAGGAGCAGCCCCGCCCAGGUCCCUGUAAGCAGGGCUGGGGAGGCUCCUUUAGCCAGGCGACAGGAACGAGCGCUCCCGGGCCCUUGCCAGGGGGCAGCUUGCAGAAGGGCCGUGCCGCAGGGCACGGUCCCGCCUUUGGCACUGCCUCGGGCUGGCGCCACAUGCCUGGCGGCCUUGUAGAGGAGGCUGCCGAGGCUCUGCAGACGGCUGUGCUGCCGUGCUGCGCUGCGGCCGGGCUCCGGCCUGUCCCUAAGUGGGGUGCAGGCCGGAGCCUGUGCUCCGCAGUGCUUGUUGGGGGGUGCCGGGCAGCAGGGGGCGGCCCCGUAAGUGGGGUUCUGUGCGUCCCCUGGCCUCGGCGGGCGGUUGGAGGGACCCCCUGUAAUCAGGCGGGUGUCCCUGGCCCCGGUCUUUCAGAGGCAUGGGGCCAGGAGUCAUGGGGCCGGGCGUGUGCCCUCCCUGUCCUCGGGGCUGGGCUCGCGGCCCCUCGGGCCCCUCGGCUUUAGGCCGUGAGCUCGACUGCCUGACUGUAGAGUCAGGUUCCUGUUGCCUUGGGGGAAGGCCGAGCUCCGUGGCUCCCUGGGUGUGGACCGGCCUGUAAGCAGGCUGCGGGUCUGGGAGCCUUUGUGCUCCCUUCAGCUGGCAGCCUGUGUGCGGCGCCCGCCCCGUUAGUGGGGAGCGCCCCGGAACUGGAGAGAAGGAGCCUCCAUAGGCCUUGGGGACCAGAGCCGCCCUGUAAGUGGGGGCCAGUGCUCUGGAGUCCCGGGCACUUUGAAGUCCAGGCAGCGGCUUGAGCCCCCUGUAAGCAGGGGUGCAGCCUCUUGGCCGCUGCUUUGCGUGCCCAGCUUCAUUUGCCCAGAGGGCCCGGCUCCCAGCACGGCGUGGGACUGCGCCGGACGUCGCCAUGAACUGUGGGACGGCGAGGCAAGAGAGAGCUUGGAGCUGAAGAGGGACACCAGGGGCCCUCUGGGCAAAGGGCUUUUCCAGGCCAGGGCACCUUCAGGGUGCCGCGGCCGGCUUUGCGCUGGGCGACCUCCCUGUGCGCAGGGCUGGGUCUUUGCUGCGGUUGGCCUUUUGCCCUUGUGCUCCUUUGGCUGCCCGGAGAGAGGGGCAACCCUGUAAAGGAGGGUGAGUGCCCCUGUCUCCGCACCGGAGGGGGGAAACGGAGCUCUCCCGGCCCCCAGCCCAGCUACCCUGUAAGCAGGGCAGGGCUUUUCCCCAGCCCCGGCAGCUUUCUGCCUGCUGCCGGCCCCUGGCCAGUGUGACCCCCUGUACUCGGGGCGUGUCACAGCCCGUGUCCCCGUGCCAGGCCUGAAGCGCUUCAGCGCGUCGAGGCCCCUUGUGGCCUCCUCUCAGUGCACGGGCAGGUCUGAUGCUUUCCUCUCCCGCUCAGCAUUAGGAAUGGCUCCCUAGAGUAGGUUGGCUGCACAGAGCUUGCUCCCUCUUCUGGGACUGUCUCCCCCUCUCCUGUCUUCCCCUUAGCCGGUGUGAGUGAGGAAGUGUGUUUGUGCUUUCGCCCCCCUUCUUUAGAAACAGAGCAGUGUAGCUCAGACUUCCCAGGAGGGAAAGAGGAGCUCUGUGCAGCCACAGGCGGGUGCCCAAAAUGCACGGGUGGAGAAAGCGUCCGGCCUUGCCCCUGCUUUCUGAGGACGGCGCGAAGCCGCUUAGCGGCAGCGUGGGCACCACGACCCGCCUGUAGCCAGGGCCUGGGCGUGCGCCCACGCUGCCGGUGGUGCUGGUGAACUGCCAGCGUGCGGGCCCCGUACUCGGGGCACGUGUCAGGACCUUGGCGGCACCCUUUGUCCCCAGGAGCAGCCCCGCCCAGGUCCCUGUAAGCAGGGCUGGGGAGGCUCCUUUAGCCAGGCGACAGGAACGAGCGCUCCCGGGCCCUUGCCAGGGGGCAGCUUGCAGAAGGGCCGUGCCGCAGGGCACGGUCCCGCCUUUGGCACUGCCUCGGGCUGGCGCCACAUGCCUGGCGGCCUUGUAGAGGAGGCUGCCGAGGCUCUGCAGACGGCUGUGCUGCCGUGCUGCGCUGCGGCCGGGCUCCGGCCUGUCCCUAAGUGGGGUGCAGGCCGGAGCCUGUGCUCCGCAGUGCUUGUUGGGGGGUGCCGGGCAGCAGGGGGCGGCCCCGUAAGUGGGGUUCUGUGCGUCCCCUGGCCUCGGCGGGCGGUUGGAGGGACCCCCUGUAAUCAGGCGGGUGUCCCUGGCCCCGGUCUUUCAGAGGCAUGGGGCCAGGAGUCAUGGGGCCGGGCGUGUGCCCUCCCUGUCCUCGGGGCUGGGCUCGCGGCCCCUCGGGCCCCUCGGCUUUAGGCCGUGAGCUCGACUGCCUGACUGUAGAGUCAGGUUCCUGUUGCCUUGGGGGAAGGCCGAGCUCCGUGGCUCCCUGGGUGUGGACCGGCCUGUAAGCAGGCUGCGGGUCUGGGAGCCUUUGUGCUCCCUUCAGCUGGCAGCCUGUGUGCGGCGCCCGCCCCGUUAGUGGGGAGCGCCCCGGAACUGGAGAGAAGGAGCCUCCAUAGGCCUUGGGGACCAGAGCCGCCCUGUAAGUGGGGGCCAGUGCUCUGGAGUCCCGGGCACUUUGAAGUCCAGGCAGCGGCUUGAGCCCCCUGUAAGCAGGGGUGCAGCCUCUUGGCCGCUGCUUUGCGUGCCCAGCUUCAUUUGCCCAGAGGGCCCGGCUCCCAGCACGGCGUGGGACUGCGCCGGACGUCGCCAUGAACUGUGGGACGGCGAGGCAAGAGAGAGCUUGGAGCUGAAGAGGGACACCAGGGGCCCUCUGGGCAAAGGGCUUUUCCAG